CACGAAGGGAGAUAACUGUAUUGCAGUUUCCUGUCAAACGAGUAACGAAGAACGAAUAUUUCCCCUUGUAUUCCACAUUUCUUCAGUUUUGUUCAAUAUUUCCCUAAUCUGCAGUACUGUACACACUUGGUAUGAUUGAAAAUUAAGAUUUAAUAACAAUGUGCCAUUCAUGUGUAAAUAAAAUCACACGUUUCGAGUAUAACUUUAAUAAAACUGUAUAACAGUACUAUAAGGCCAAAUAAAUUGUGUAAAAAAAUAUGAACAUAUAAACAACAAAGAUAAAUCCCAUUCACUUUUAUAACAACAUGUAUGGACACAUUUUAGAACCAGUAAAAUAUGCUAAAUACUUAGGUAUCACCAUCUUAGCAGACCUGAAAUGGAACUCUCGCAUUCAACAAACCGCUGCUAAAGCAAAUAAAUCCUUGUUUCAUGAGAAGAAAUUUUAAAGACUAAAGUCCAAUCACAAACUAUUAAAGAAAGAGCAUACCAAACAUUUGAAACCGGAGAGCAUGAUUCUACAUACAAAAUCAUGUGUCUCCACUGGGAAUGGAACCUGGGACCCCUGUGUUAGAAGCCAGUGAGUAAAGCAACUGAGCUAAAGAAGUACUUCCUUAGCUCAUCUGCUUACGGCUGUGACUAAGUAUCUACCACAUGUGAUAAGGGCAGCAAUCCCAUCACACUCCCCCCCUCAAGAGGUGUGAUACCAAUACGACCCUCACAACACAUUCCCUAGCUAUAAUUCCUCUCUAAUCACCGUGGGUUUUUUAGUUGGGCACCAAUGUAAUGGGAGAGCAUGAUUCUACAUACAAAUCAUCUUUGCCUCCACUGGGAAUUGAACCUGGGACCUCUGUGUUACAAGGCAGCUUGUUAACCGACUGAGCUAAAGAAGUACAGUGAUUACUAAGCUCAACCCCUUACAGCUGACUAAGUAUCUACCUCAUGUUCUGACAUUCUAACAUGUCUAAGGGAAGCAAUCCCGUCACACACUCAUAAGACAAAAGUUAAAAUACUGUUCUACUGAAUUGGACCCAGAGACAUAUAUACACAUAUAUCAUGUAUAUAAGAGUAUGGAUUCUUAUGAAGCAUGCAUGAAAUACAUUUAUUAGUCAUUGGAGCUUCUAAUUUGAGUUUAAUAAUUCAAUUUUUCAGACAUCAUGAUAGAGAUUACUUGUAAUGACAGACUGGGGAAAAAAGUUAGAGUCAAGUGCAAGUAUCCUUUGUAGUAUUAUAUAUUUACUAUCAUUCCACAGGCCAAUAGGUGCUGACUCUCCUUCAGAUAUAUAUUAAGCAACCAAUCAGAGUCAACUAUACUUUUAUUCAAGGAUGAAUUAUCCAUUUUGAAUCCUACAUGUGCAUGUAUGUUGUUUGUCUUGACUUAGAACUAGUACACCGAAUACAUACAUGUGCUUUUCUACAUUGUACAAUGUGGUAUAUCAUUUGCCAAUUAUUUUAUUAUCGGUAAACCCUAAAUUGGUUAAAAUUAAAGGAAAAUUCACUAAUAUGAAAACAAAAUCAUGAUGUUUGUCAGUAGGUUUUUUGCUCAAAUUUUUUAUUGUGUCUAUUGAUAUAUAUAUGAUUUUACUCCAGCAUGUCCAGUGAUAGAUGUUUAAGUGUCCAUUCAAAAAUAAGAAAACAACCUUAUUACAACUAUAUCAUAUCAAACAUUCUAAUUUAUAAUUAUUUUUUUUAGAACUAAAGGUUUCUGUAAUUCAGUCCCAACAUAUUUUUUAACCAACUUGAUUUUUAAUCGUGAUGUAGUAAUACACAAUUAAAUUUCACAAAAUAUCAUACUUUCAAAAUUUGAAAUUUGAAUAUAAACAUAUAAACAUGAUAAAAAAUGUAAAAUAUUUUACAAAAUUUCAAUUUAUUCAUAUAUGCAGUAUUAAAAUUUGUGCAGUUGUACUGAUAUAAGAUAUAUAGAAUUAAACAAAAUGAUUGAUUCAAAUCCUUAUCUCUGCAGUAUUGCCUUUUCUAGACGAUCUGAUAUAUAUAUAUAUAUUUAUAGAAUAAGGAAUCAAAGAAUUCAAAUAUCAAAAAAUAUUCAACGAGUGACCGAACAACACUGUCACAUUAAUUCACGAAUGCCCGCAGCGCAUGAGUUAAUUAUCACUGCAUUGCAGUGACUUGUUCGGUAACGAGUUGAAUAUUUUUCGAUAUUUGAAUUCUUUGAUUACUUAUUCAUUUUAUUACAUUGGCAAAGGUUUUUUUUUUAUGAAAUUAAAGUACAUUCACAAUUUGUUUUGAUCAGAGGUUAUCCACGUCUUGACAACGCCUCUUGUUGUAUGAUGUCAGAGAAGUGAAAUAACCACGUAUGAUGUCAGAGGAGUGAAAUAAUCAUGUAUGAUGUCAGAGGAUGUAAUUCAUUGCAACCAAUUUAAUAAAUAUAUUUUUUAAAUUGUUUGCAAUGAGUUACAUUGAUUUCUCAGUGAAAUAAAAACCGAUAAUUUCACAUGUGAAAUAAACGUGGUUAUUUCACUUCUCUGUUGUCAUACAACAAUUGGCAUUGUCAAGAUGUCGAUAAUGUUGGAUCAAAACAAAUUGUAAAUGCGUAGAAAAGGUUAUAUCAUAGUUUUCUUCUUUAAUUUCAUAAAAAAAAAAAAUUUGCCAAUGUAAUAAAAAAAAUAACUAAUCAAAGAAUUCAAAUAUCGAAAAAUAUUCAACUUGUGACCGAACAACACUGAUAAUUAGCUCAUGCGCUGUGCGCAUUCGUGAAUUAAUGUGUUGUUCUAUCACUCCUUGAAUAUUUUCGAUAUUUGAAUUCUGGGAUUAGUUAUACUAUAAGUAUUGUACAUGUAUUUGCAUGUUGGUCUUUUUUUUUUUCUUUUUUUUUUUUAAAGACUUCUAUCAUCAUUUGAUCAUGUCUAGCAAUGUCUAGUAUAUAUGAAUAUAAAUCAAGAGCUUUACUAACUAACUGCAAUGGUCCUUAACAAUUACCAGUAUAGAUGACACAAUUGGUGACUUAAAGAAGCUGAUAGCUGCACAGACUGGAACAAAAGCUGAAAAAAUAGUUCUGAAAAAAUGGUAUGUUUUUAGCUCACCGCUCCAAAGGAACAAUAAGCUUUUGCCAUCAUUUGUUGUCCGUUGUCGUCUCUCUGGUGUAAACUAUUUUAAACAUCUUCUCUGAAACUACUGAACCAAUUCCUACCAAACUUAAGCUGAAUGAUCCUUAGGGUAUCUAGAAUAAAGUUUGUGUAUUAUUUUCUGUUUCAUUUAAAAACAUGGUAUAUGGCUAAAAAUAGAACAUAGGGACAAAAUGGAGUUUUUGGCAUAUAUCUCAUAAACCAAAGCAUUUAGAGCAAAGCUGACCUGGUGUAAAAAAGUUCAUUAUGUAAAGUUCUAUCAGCCCUGAAAUUUUCAGAUGAAUCUUCUAACCCAUUGUUGGUUUGCUGCCACUAAAUUGGUAAUUAUAGGAUUUUUAUCAGUAUUUGGUCAUUAUCUUAAAUAUUAUUAAUGAUAAAGAUAAACUGUAAACAGCAAAAAUGUUCAGCAAAAUAAGAUCUACAAAUAAGUUAAUAUACAAAAAUUGUCUAUUAACCCCUUAAGGAGUUAUUGUUAUAAGGACAAUUUUAUCAUGUUUUCUAACUUUAAAAAAUCUUCCCCAUGGUUAUUUCUUUCUGGGUGCAUUUUACAUAGACAAAUAAAAUCGUAUAAUAUAAUCAAAAUGAGGAUGUUAACUUGAUGUGUGCUUCUUCGUUACAUUUGUUUUUAGUGAUUAAUAUGAUAACAAAUGGACUGCUGUACCCCUAUUUUUGACAUUUUAACUAUUGUUCUGUUUGUUUUGUUCAAGCAUAGUGAAAUAAAUGAAUGUGAUACGACUGUCAUACAAGUAGUUUAGCUUUAUUAUAUAAAACCAGGUUCAAUCCACCUUUUUACAUUUGAAAUGCCGUACCAAGUCAGGAAUAUGACAGUUCUUGUCAUUCGUUUUUGAUGCGUUUUGUUAUUUGAUUUGCCAUGUGAUUAUGGUUUCCGAAUUGAUUUUCCUCUGAGUUCCGUAUUUUUGUGAUUUUACUUUUUCCCCUAUGAAACUACAUGAUUCUUAGGGUAUCUAGAAUAGAGUUUGUGUUUUAUUUUCCAUUUCGUCAAAAAACAUGGCCACCAAUGGCACCAUGGCUAAAAAAAAGGACAUAUAGGGGUAAAAAGCAUUCUCCAUUUGAAACUGCUGAAUCAAUUUCAGCCAAAGUUAGGCUGAAUGGGUUUCAGAAUAUCUAGUAUAAAUUUUUUACUUUAUUUCCUUGUACGUCAAGAAACAUAGCCACUAUCAUGACUAUGACUAAAAUGGAACAUAGGAGGUAAAAACCAUUUUUUUGCUUUUGACAAAAAUAUGACAGAUACAAAGAACAGUUAAAUGGAAUUUUUAAAACACUCGUUAAUAUAUAUAUUGAAAAGCAAAAUUAUCAUUGUGGAAAGAUUUUAAGCAAAAAAAAAAAACAGGUGAGCAAUUCAGGCUCUUGAGAACCUCUUGUUUAAGUUUUUUUUUAUGAAUAUAUAAGUAUUCAAAAUUAUCUGAAGAGUGGUUAUGUAUUUGAAUUAAUGUAUAUUGAAAUCACAUCUUUAGGUUUCUAAUUGAAUUUGCUUGUUAUGGAAAAAAGAGCCAUUUUAUCUGCAUAUAACAAGUCUGUACUAACUGUUUAUUUUUCUUCACAGGUACACAAUAUUCAAAGACCAUGUUACAAUAGGAGAUUGUAUCCUUUCUCAAGAUCUUAGACAGAGCAAUAAAUAAAAGGAGGUGUUGGGUUUACAUCAAUGAGACAGCAACCUAACAACACAUAAAAAAGUAGAUGUUAUCAUAGUGUCUUCAUCAAUAGACAUCUGUCUACAAUUUGUCAGGCGUUUAAAUUUUUAUAAUGUAAAAAAAAAGUUGUGGUAAAAUGAAAAAAAAAACACGUUGAAGAUCAGCAUUAAAACCACUCAAAAUUCCCUGAAGGAAAAAAGUUUACAUGACGUAACUAAAGAGCCGCAAGGCUCUUGAUUUGACUUGACUUAUAUUAUUAUUAAAUUCAAUUACAUUUUUUUAACGGGUAAAAUUUAGAUUAAUGUUUUGUCUUAUGAUGAUAAGUGUAAGGUUAAGAGGUGUGUUUGAUAAAAGAAAAUAUAUAAUAGAGUCUAUUCAGACCCACUUUUAAAGUAACAAUACUGUAAGUGUAGUGUUUAACAAAGAGCUACUUUUAAAACCUUGAAAGAAAAUGUUAAUUCCAAACAGACCCCAAACAGAACAGUUUUUAUAAACUAAUAUUAGUAAAAAUUGGAAAAUUAUGUAAAAAUAUAGACUUUAAUCUAUUAAAUGAUGUUUACUGCUAAAAUGAAAAAUAAAGCUACAUUUUCACAUUAACUAUUUUUUUCAUAACACAAUCUAUAAUCAUGAUUAUAUAAUACAUCAAAAUAUGAGAAAAAAUAGAGAAAUAAUGGUCUUUAUUUUGAAAACAGUUGAAAAACUACAACUUUGAGUGUUAAAAGAUGUCUGAAUAUCUAGACAUAAUAUGCAUAAUGAAUGAAAUAAAGGUUUGCAAUGUUUUAUUUAUUGUGUAAAUUGCUUUUGGUUACCUGAAAAAAGUGCACUCAGAAUUUUAAUAACAUGAUCACCAGAAAUCACAAUAACUAAUUUCACCUAUCAUGUCAGUUAUACAACAAUCACAAUGUUAAAUGCACACAUAGCUUUCUGAAAGACACACUAAAUUCAAUUUCAAAACAGAAACUAUUUCCAUACAAUCAAUUAGUAAUGAAGAGGAUUUGAUAUUUCAAAUUUCUGAUAAAACAUUCUCCUGGCCUUAGGGGUUAUUUACCCUUGAUCAAAAGAAUUUAUCAGUCUUCCUUAACACUAUAUUCAGAUGAAAUUAAAGAUGGUAUGAAUCUGGAACUGUAUUAUCAAUGACACCUACAUAUCAGACAUUUUUCAUUAAACAUUAAAAUCAUCAAGACAUCAUUCAAUAAUCAUAAGUCAAAUGUUAAUGUAAAUCUGUGUACAGGUUACAUGUGAUGAGACAACAAUAAAUUUGAAUAUUGUUAGUGAAGCAGUAUUUUAUAUGUAUGGAAGCUGUAUAUCUAUGUGUGACAAAAAUAUCUUUGAAAUGUUUUCAGCAUAUUUGAACAAACAUUUAGCAAUUUCAAAGAAGUUUGUUAUUUUUUUUUUAUAGUAGUGUGAAUAAUUACAGAAAUGAAAAUACAGCAUAUUGGUAGAUGUACCUGGCAAAAUAAAAAUUUAGAAUACUAGAAAAUGACAGUAUUCAUUAUUGUUUUUGUUCUUAUUCCUGACAAUUUUUACUGUUCAUACAUGUGACCUGCCAUGACAUUUGCAGGGUUAUGGAGGUAGAACGUCAUUGUUAGAAAAAUAUAAACUCGAGAUUCAAUGAAAUAAGUAUUUGUGAAAAAGAGACACUUUCCUUAGCUUUUUUUUUGCUGACGCAGAACUAUACAUUAUAUAUAAGUUUUGAAGAAGUUUUACUUUAUCGUUUAAAGUGCAAAAUAUUUGAAUCUACAUUUUAAAUUGAUACAAAAAAAAAUCAAAUUUCUGCUCUAUAGACUUCCUUUCAUAAAUGAAAUCUGAAAUAUAUCCCUAACAAAUGCGUGUUUAUAUUACAUGUUCAACAUAUUUGUUACGUUCGGAGGACAACAUAUUUGUUACGAUUGAC
rnacentral:lncRNA from 1 species